GGGCGAAUGGUUUUAGUGGGUAUAAUACUCCCUUAGCAAGAUUUCUUAUAGAUAUCUGGGAGUGGUCCAGGGUUCGAUUCCCUGUUCGUCCA